rnacentral:rRNA from 1 species
GACGAACGCUGUCGGCGUGCUUAACACAUGCAAGUCGAACGGAAAGGCCCUGCUUUUGUGGGGUGCUCGAGUGGCGAACGGGUGAGUAACACGUGAGUAACCUGCCCUUGACUUUGGGAUAACUUCAGGAAACUGGGGCUAAUACCGGAUAGGAGCUCCUGCUGCAUGGUGGGGGUUGGAAAGUUUCGGCGGUUGGGGAUGGACUCGCGGCUUAUCAGCUUGUUGGUGGGGUAGUGGCUUACCAAGGCUUUGACGGGUAGCCGGCCUGAGAGGGUGACCGGCCACAUUGGGACUGAGAUACGGCCCAGACUCCUACGGGAGGCAGCAGUGGGGAAUAUUGCACAAUGGGCGGAAGCCUGAUGCAGCAACGCCGCGUGCGGGAUGACGGCCUUCGGGUUGUAAACCGCUUUCGCCUGUGACGAAGCGUGAGUGACGGUAAUGGGUGAAGAAGCACCGGCUAACUACGUGCCAGCAGCCGCGGUGAUACGUAGGGUGCGAGCGUUGUCCGGAUUUAUUGGGCGUAAAGGGCUCGUAGGUGGUUGAUCGCGUCGGAAGUGUAAUCUUGGGGCUUAACCCUGAGCGUGCUUUCGAUACGGGUUGACUUGAGGAAGGUAGGGGAGAAUGGAAUUCCUGGUGGAGCGGUGGAAUGCGCAGAUAUCAGGAGGAACACCAGUGGCGAAGGCGGUUCUCUGGGCCUUUCCUGACGCUGAGGAGCGAAAGCGUGGGGAGCGAACAGGCUUAGAUACCCUGGUAGUCCACGCUGUAAACGGUGGGUACUAGGUGUGGGGUCCAUUCCACGGGUUCCGUGCCGUAGCUAACGCUUUAAGUACCCCGCCUGGGGAGUACGGCCGCAAGGCUAAAACUCAAAGGAAUUGACGGGGCCCCGCACAAGCGGCGGAGCAUGCGGAUUAAUUCGAUGCAACGCGUAGAACCUUACCUGGGUUUGACAUGGAUCGGGAGUGCUCAGAGAUGGGUGUGCCUCUUUUGGGGUCGGUUCACAGGUGGUGCAUGGCUGUCGUCAGCUCGUGUCGUGAGAUGUUGGGUUAAGUCCCGCAACGAGCGCAACCCUUGUUCACUGUUGCCAGCACGUUAUGGUGGGGACUCAGUGGAGACCGCCGGGGUCAACUCGGAGGAAGGUGGGGAUGACGUCAAGUCAUCAUGCCCCUUAUGUCCAGGGCUUCACGCAUGCUACAAUGGCUGGUACAGAGAGUGGCGAGCCUGUGAGGGUGAGCGAAUCUCGGAAAGCCGGUCUCAGUUCGGAUUGGGGUCUGCAACCCGACCUCAUGAAGUCGGAGUCGCUAGUAAUCGCAGAUCAGCAACGCUGCGGUGAAUACGUUCCCGGG